rnacentral:rRNA from 1 species
UACAGAGGGUGCAAGCGUUGUUCGGAAUUAUUGGGCGUAAAGCGCGUGUAGGCGGCUUUGCAAGUCGGGUGUGAAAGCCCUCAGCUCAACUGAGGAAGUGCGCCCGAAACUGCAGAGCUUGAGUACCGGAGAGGAUGGCGGAAUUCCCGAAGUAGAGGUGAAAUUCGUAGAUAUCGGGAGGAACACCGGUGGCGAAGGCGGCCAUCUGGACGGAUACUGACGCUGAGGAACGAAAGCUAGGGGAGCAAACAGG